CUCCGUGCUCGCGCAUCGAACUGUCCGGCGUGCUCCCAAUCAGCGCUGUUUCGAGCGUCGCUCGACGCCUCGAACGCAAUUCGGGUCCCUGUGUUGCAUACCUGCCUCGAAGGCACUCGUCCCUCUAGUUGAUUCGUUCCUAGUCGAUGCUCCUUGCGGGGUGUCGGCAGGACCUUGAAGCCGUCCUCGCGUCCCACGCGUGCCUCGCCAAGCGUUGCCGCUGUGGACCGCGCGGGCGUGCUCGUGGCCUCGGAUGCAGAACAUUAUGUGGGUUUGGGGCCUCUGGCCCCCUUUGCCAACGUACCAAGCGAGCGUCAUCGCUCUGCCCCGCACGAUCGCCGCGCUCGUUUGCGCCCUUCCUUGCCUUCGGGCGAGCCUGGGCCUCCGGGCG
rnacentral:misc_RNA from 1 species